rnacentral:rRNA from 1 species
CAGUCGAACGAGGGUCCUUCGGGACUCGAGUGGCGAACGGGUGAGUAACACGUAGGGAACCUGCCCGUGCGACCGGGAGAACUUUCGGAAACGGAAGCUGAUACCGGAUAGGGACAGAGACGGCAUCGACUCUGUGUUAAAGGAGCUGAAAGGCUCCGCGCACGGAUGGACCUGCGGUGCAUUAGCUGGUUGGUGAGGUAACGGCCCACCAAGGCGACGAUGCAUAGCCGGCCUGAGAGGGCGGACGGCCACACUGGGACUGAGACACGGCCCAGACUCAUACGGGAGGCAGCAGUAGGGAAUUUUCGUCAAUGGGCGCAAGCCUGAACGAGCAAUGCCGCGUGAACGAGGAAGGUCUUCGGAUCGUAAAGUUCUGUUGAAGGGGAAAAAGAGCGGAGAGAGGAAAUGGUCUCCGAUUGAUAUUACCCUUCGAGGAAGUCACGGCUAACUACGUGCCAGCAGCCGCGGUAAUACGUAGGUGGCGAGCGUUAUCCGGAAUGAUUGGGCGUAAAGGGUGCGUAGGCGGCCUGCUAAGUCUGGAGUGAAAGGUACCGGCUCAACCGGUACAGGCUCUGGAAACUGGCGGGCUAGAGAGCAGGAGAGGGCGGUGGAACUCCAUGUGUAGCGGUAAAAUGCGUAGAUAUAUGGAAGAACACCAGUGGCGAAGGCGGCCGCCUGGCCUGUUACUGACGCUGAGGCACGAAAGCGUGGGGAGCAAAUAGGAUUAGAUACCCUAGUAGUCCACGCCGUAAACGAUGAGGACCAAGUGUUGGGGAAGACCCAGUGCUGCAGUUAACGCAGUGAGUCCUCCGCCUGGGGAGUAUGCACGCAAGUG